GCCUAUAGCCUAGUGGCUAAGGUACAUGACUGGGACCCCUGAGGUUGAUGGUUCAAGUCCAGCCACAGUA